rnacentral:rRNA from 1 species
AUGGCUCAGGAUGAACGCUGGCGGCGUGCUUAACACAUGCAAGUCGAACGAAGCAGUUAUACGAUCCCUCGGGGUGACGAUUACUGACUGAGUGGCGGACGGGUGAGUAACGCGUGGGUAACCUGCCUUGUACAGGGGGACAACAGUUGGAAACGACUGCUAAUACCGCAUAAGCGCACAGCUUCGCAUGAAGCAGUGUGAAAAGUAUUUUCGGUACAAGAUGGACCCGCGUCUGAUUAGCUAGUUGGUGAGGUAACGGCCCACCAAGGCGACGAUCAGUAGCCGACCUGAGAGGGUGACCGGCCACAUUGGGACUGAGACACGGCCCAAACUCCUACGGGAGGCAGCAGUGGGGAAUAUUGCACAAUGGGCGAAAGCCUGAUGCAGCGAACCGCCGCGUGAGCGAAGAAGUAUUUCGGUAUGUAAAGCUCUAUCAGCAGGGAAGAUAAUGACGGUACCUGACUAAGAAGCACCGGCUAAAUACGUGCCAGCAGCCGC